AAGCGUGCGCAGGCGGUUAUGUAAGACAGAUGUGAAAUACCCCGGGCUCAACCUGGGAAUGCAUUAGUGACUGCAUAGCUGGAGUACGGCAGAGGGGGAUGGAAUUCCGCGUGUAGCAGUGAAAUGCGUAGAUAUGCGGAGGAACACCGAUGGCGAAGGCAAUCCCCUGGGCCUGUACUGACGCUCAUGCACGAAAGCGUGGGGGAGCAAACAGGAUUAGAUACCCCAGU
rnacentral:rRNA from 1 species